GCUAUGUUUACCUGAUGGGGUUAUGCUGGUGUAACUACUUUGACGUAGACAUACCCAUAGUGUAGACAUACUCUUAGUCCCCAGUUCUGUCUGACUCUGGCCAGCCGUGAGUAAGAGGCAGAAUUACAAGAGAUUAAACUAUGAAUAAAUCACACUGACUGCUCAGUUCAGAUGGUGAAGAGAACAGAAUGGGCUUGGAAAAGCACAGAAGAGUUGCAGGGAUAUUGCAUGAGACGGCAGAGUCAACAAGCAAGUGAUAAAACUAAAAGACAAGGAAGAAUCAGAAUUUUUUUUUACUAGCCACGCCCAAUUUUCUUUGGAAAAGCAUAUGGCACUGUAAUGACAAUGUAAUUCUUCAGCUAUGUGAUCCGAUCUGAAAAUAGAAACUAUGAG